rnacentral:lncRNA from 1 species
AAAGAUGUUGACUUUGGUAUUUAAUGGGCAUAACCCCUACACAACGUCCUAUAAUUCAAUUCUUUGAAGUUUUUUGGUCUUUGUUUUUCCUUCUAAUACUAUAUAUCAGCAGCGUUUAUUUGGUGUUGUUGCUUCAGCUUCUUGAUAUUCUGACAACUAGUUCCAUGGGCAUUAAAUGUUGUUAUGUUCUCUUCCCAUGCAAGAAACCUUUAGGAAAGAUAUGCAGGCAAUAUUCUUUUAUGUAUUGAAGUAGGGGUAUAUGAGGUUCAGUGUAAUAAAUCGGUUUUUUCUCCAAAAAGAAGACCGAACUGCUCAGGCCU